CGGGAUUUGGCGGCGCCUUUGUCUCUCGCUGCAGCCGGAGCUCCAGGUCUCGCUUUCAUUGCUCUGUGUCCUCUGCUCCUAGAGGUCCAGCCUCUGUGGGCCUGUGACCUGCAGAAAUUGAGAGAUCCACAGCUAAGACUCCAGGACCCCCUGGAAGCCUAGAAAUGACUGAGUCUCGCUCUGUUACCCAGGCUGGAGUGCAGUGCCAUGAUCUCAGCUCACUGCAACCUUCCGCCUCCCAGAUUCAAGUGAUUCUUCUGCCUCAGCCACCCGAGUAGCUGGGAUUACAGAUGCGCACCACCACGCCUGGCUAAUUUUUGUAUUUGUAGUAGAGAUGGGGUUUCACCAUGUUGGCCAGGCUAGGCUCGAACUCCUGACUUCAGGUGACCUGCUGGCCUUGGCCUCCCAAAGUGCUGGGAUUACAGGUGUGAGCCACCGUGCCCGGCCUACUACAUAACUUUUAAAAUAAAUAAUAAAAUAAUACUUUAAUUGUUUGAAAGGUGUAGAUACUUUUGGUUUUCUUACAGAGGUAUGAAAUGGAAGCACCUUAAAAUUUUCUUUUUAUAUACUAACACUGCGUUUCAGUAAUUUUGCUGGAUUUUUCAAACACAUAGUUUCAGACACCAAGUGAAUAACUCAGACAUGAAAAUUAAAGCUUGAGCCCAUCUAAAGCUAAUAUUGAGCCUGCAAAAGGAGGUUAUUAAAGGCCCAGUUAGUUCUUUCUGGGGAGCCUUUUCUGCAGAUAUGUCAGCCUGCUCACCCCAGCCAUGGAAGAAGGCUUUAUCCUGAGAGAAGCUUGAGAGCCCUGGGAAGCUGGGGAUGCACAGGCAGGUGCAGUUAAGGUUAAAAUGAAAAAGUGCUGUGAAGGUCUUACUGAAGAUAAGUAUUAUUGUUUUGAGGCAGUUUCUAAAUUUUGUAAAAUUAAAGUUAUAGAUUUAUGUAAAAAAAAUUUUAAUUCCAAAGGAGUAUUGCAACAGGAGGAAGUACCAACUAUUAUUGCAAAGUUCAGGCAGACUUUUUUUCCACAGAGGGGAGAAAACAAGAUUAGAAAGAAAAUAGCAGAAGAAUGGUGAAUAGAGAGUGAAAAAGUCAGGUUUUAGAUCAGAAAAUGUUUUACCCUGAAGUUAGCAUAUUCUUAGGGUGAACAUAAAAUGGGGUUGUAUGUUGGCUCAGACUGAGUGUAGCUCAAAGUUUAGUUGCUGUGGGAAAAAGAAGUUUGAUUAAGAAGUAUUUUAUUUUGACCACUGAAGACAAAUUUAGCUGAUUUUUUUAAGAAAAGGAAGAAAAUAUGCAGAGUCUAUGUCUGGCUCUACAACAGGUGAGAAAAGAGAGAGCACCAUCUAAGUCAUAAUAAGAGGGUAUUUCUUUUGAAAAACUAUUUUUGGAGAAUACAAAGAUGGAGAAUUUUAUUAAUCAUAGCUCUUUACCAGGAUUAUCUAUGUGCUUCAUUUUUCCCCACCUUUUUUCCUGGUCCUAUGUAUUUCUUCCAUUUGACUUUUUCUGAGUUGUAUCUUUUAUAAUAAACUGGUAAAGAUAA
rnacentral:lncRNA from 1 species